rnacentral:rRNA from 1 species
UACGUAGGUGGCAAGCGUUGUCCGGAUUUACUGGGCGUAAAGGGCGUGUAGGCGGUCAAGUAAGUGGAAUGUGAAAGCCCCCGGCUUACCCGGGGAUCUGCAUCCCAAACUGCUUGGCUUGAGUACGGGAGAGGAUAGGGGAAUUCCAGGUGUAGCGGUGAAAUGCGUAGAUAUCUGGAGGAACACCGGUGGCGAAGGCGGCAUCCUGGACCGGCAUUGACGCUGAGGCGCGAAAGCCAGGGGAGCAAACGGG